UACAGAGGAGGCAAGCGUUAUCCGGAAUUAUUGGGCGUAAAGCGUCCGCAGGUGGCACUUCAAGUCUGUCGUCAAAGACUGGGGCUUAACCCUGGAAGGGCGGUGGAAACUGAAGCGCUAGAGUGCGGUAGGGGUAGAGGGAAUUCCCGGUGUAGCGGUGAAAUGCGUAGAGAUCGGGAAGAACAUCGGUGGCGAAAGCGCUCUACUGGACCGCAACUGACACUCAGGGACGAAAGCUAGGGGAGCGAAUGGG
rnacentral:rRNA from 1 species